AAGGCGAAAAUGGUAUGGUCAUGAAAGAAGGACCUGAAAGAUUUUGGCCUGCUGACCUUGUAUUAUUAUCAAUCGGCUUCGAAGGUACAGAAC
rnacentral:tRNA from 1 species